UUUAAGCGGAAUACUACAUAACAGGGAUUCACUGUACACAUAAAUCAGAGGAAUAUUGAAUAUUUUCUUUGGCACAUUUCUUGACUUGAAAAUCGACAAAUAAACUAUGUUGUCAAUUUUAUUCUAUACUUAUAUUUGCGGGGUUGUCGUUAUUUCUUUCUCAUACAAAUAUCAGAAAUUGUUCAAUUUAUCAUUUUUAUUAUUCGCUUUUGCCACCGUCGCGAAAAGACGCUUGUUGGCAAAGGCAUGCCCGGGGAGAUGUAAUGGUAAUUGCUUUUAUGAAUGAAGCAAGUUUGUCUAUGGAAAGUGCGCUUGCGUUCAUGAACGAAAAUAUUGUUGUUGUGUGUUUUUUCACAAAUUUGGGCAUCGACUAUUUGGCUGCCAUAUCGACUUGUGACGCUACUGAUGCUCUUUGAGACGAUUGUUAGUUUUGUAGAACAAUAUUUGUAAUUUUUGCGGGUGACAUAUCUACAUCUGAACACAUAGAAGCAUGUAUGUUGUGUAUGGAUUAUUUGUGUGGGAAUGUCAUACACACAUAUGUAUUUAUGUAUGUACAUAUGAGCAGCGCGCACAUGUUACUAUUCCCUGCCAACAUUUGGAAGUGUCUUUUAUCGUCAACGCCAAAUACGUCACGCUUUAGUCACUUCCGUACGUUAAAAUAAAGAUAGUUGUCGCGUUCACGUGUCAAACGCCAAAUGCGUCACUUUUAAGUCACUUCCAGACGUUAAAUAAAAAAUUGUUGUCCCGUUAUGCAAAAGAUAAACAAUGAACGCGAUCACCGACGUUGAAGUCGCAGCGACUGCAAAAUGAAAUUAGAUGAAAACAGCAGAAUAGAAAAAGAAGGUGUUGACAUUUUGUUCAUUGGUUUUGUGUCUUCUGCAGUUUGUGGUCAGUGCUAAAGUGCGAUAUUGUUUUUGGAACUAGUAAAAUUAUUUGUUUACUGGUGUUUUAAUUUGAAAUAUUAUUGAAAAUAUAAUUAAAAUGAGUGAAUUGUCAGUAAAGGCUAUUAAAUUGAAAAAAUAAAAGAGAAGCAUCUAUGUAAAUUAAUACGCAAUAUUAAUAAAAGCACAUAUAGCGGCAGUAAUAAAGUUAAAAAAAUAAAUGUCGAUGAAGGUCAUUGUAAAGAAAGUUCAAAAGAAAGUUGUGAACCCAGUGUUUCGAGCAGUGUUAUUAAAUGUAGUGAUAGUGUUUUUUUUGUCAAGUGAUAGCUCAAGUGAGUUUGAGGAUUUUAGAGAAAAAAUAAGUAAAACUGAGGAAAUGAAUAUAACAGAAAAGUUACGAAAAUGGACGAUUGAAAAAAAUAUUUGCAAUAGUGCUUUAAAUGACUUGUUGCAAAUAUUAUGAGAACAUAAUGUGAGUGUCCCUAAAGACUGCCGAACGUUAAAAAAAACCCCAAAGGAGGUUACCCCUCGCAGUAUGGGAGACUCAGAUGAGUUUUUAUCAGAGUUCAUAGAUGAGCUUCAUAAUUUAAUUGGAAGUGGAUUUCAAUACAAAAACAAGUUUUUUACAAUAAAACCUAGAUGUUUCGUAAUGGAUGCACCAGCAAGAUCGUUUGUGUUGGGGAUUAAAGGUCACACUGGUUUCUAUUCAUGUACGAGGUGUUUGCAAAAAGGAGAAAUGUUCAAACAUCGGCUUAUAUUCCCCAAUAUUGAAUGUUCCUCCUUACGAAAUGAUACUUCGUUCAGGAAUAGGUUUCAGCCAGAGCAUCACAACCAACAGGAUGGAACAAUGAUUGAAAAACUUCCAAUUGAUAUAGUUCAUCAAAUAGGUUUAGAUUAUUUGCAUGUUAUUUGGCUAGGAGUAACACGAACUCUUUUAAAAGCUUGGGCGAGGAAAAAGCGUGAACAAUACUCUUUGAUGUUUUGGAAAAUUUGCACACUUUCCAGUAGAUUAACUAAUCUAAAAAAUUCUUGUCCACUCGAGUUUUGUAGAAAGCCACGGUCCUUAGAUGAACUUGAACGUUGGAAAGCAACUGAACUCCGCCAAUUUCUUUUGUAUUACGGCCCGUAAUUUUAGAAUCAGUUUUAUCUCAAGAAAGAUUUGUACAUUUUUUAAAGCUAUCUGUUGCAAUUAGAAUUCUUUUAUCGAAAAAGGAUUGUCAGAUUAAUAAUACAUAUGCUCAAAAUCUGCUCUUUAGCUUUGUUAAAGAUAUUCCCUCGCUAUAUGACCUAACUUUCUUAACUUGCAAUUUUCAUUACCUGCUUCACAUUCAUGAAGAUGCAAAGAAGUUUGAAAGCUUGGAAAGUAUAAGCGCUUUCAGAUUUGAAAAUCAUCUUCAAAAAUUGAAGAAGCAAGUUAAGAAAGCAAGUAAUGUGUCCGCCCAAUUAUACAAUAGGCAAGUAGAAACUAGUUUUGCUUUAAAAGCAGUUGAAAAAACAACAAGUGUACAGUUCAGCCGAAAGAAUAUUAGUGAGGAUGUUUAUUUUCAUGUGCAAAUUUCUGACUUUUACUUUUCAAUUGGAAAACCAAACAAUUUUUGCUAUGUGGGAGAUGAUAUUGUUAAAAUUGAUAAAAUAACACGACACAAUAAUUUGCCUAGAUUUGAAGGACACACUGUAACAAAUUUAAAACCACUAUUGUCACAGCCCCUAAGCUCAGAACAUAUUAAAAUUUAUAAAACCGAAGUAAUUACUUUGAAAAAUAAAAUAAACUUUACCAUAGAGGAUAUUUCAAAUAAAGCUAUUGUUUUGCAAAGUGUUGACAGUACUUUCGCUGUAUUUCCAUUUCUUUAAAAAUGGCGUUUAAUAAUGCUCCUAAUACAGAUGAUACUUUUACAUUUUUGAGUGAUGGCUAUACAAUACAUCCCACUGACGAAUAUAUCGAAUGUAAGCACAACAGCUGCGUCUUCAGAUCAAGGAACCAUACAAACGAUUUUGCAAGAGUUACGUUCUUUGCAAACAAAAUUUGAAAAAUUCGAAGAAACUAAUACAAAAAUAAUAAAAACUUUGACGGAAGAAGUCGUUGCGUUAAAAGAAAUAUGCGUGAGAAGGGCGAUACGUCUCUAAUACCUUCCUUGCCUUUCACGGAUGUCAAGGACUUUAUUGAUUUUGACACGAAGCUGCUGUUGAACGACAAAAUGACAUCUCAGCUGGUAAGUCGAUUUUGUUAUACUAAAUGCCCAUAAUUAUGAAUAAAUUUGUAUAUUUGCAACAUAUUUAAUUUUAGAAAAAUAUCAUAUAUAGAGUAGGAGGAAAGGAUUUCCCUUCAUUCCUAAGAAUGGCAUGGAAAUCCAUUAUAUCGGAUGCUACGGCCGUUAAUUUAACUUGGCGUGAAACAAAUGAUAAACCCAGUAUCCAACGCUUUACAACAUUUGCACUAAUAAAAAAUGCCUGUCAUUCCAAAUAUUCGAACUCGACCGAUAUGGAUAUAAAUAAAGUGUAUACAUACUUCACGCCCGAGACAGAGUACAAAAAAAACAAACAAACAAUUAAUGAACUGAAAAAUUAAAAAAUCUUAUUUCUAAUAUUCACAUGAAUUAAUUAUUUUUUUUUUGUAAUACAUUUUUGAAUUGAAAUAAAUAUAAAAAAUUUAAAAACGAAAAUUUUAACUUCCACAAGUCACUAAUACGUAACUUUCACUAUCACUAUUUAUCACUAUUAUUUCAUUUUUUUUUUAAUAAUAUUAUGAUUGUUUGUUAUAUACAUACAUACAUAUGUAAUGAAGUAUACACAUAAGUAUGAAUAUAUCAAUUACAAAUAUAAUUAAAAAAUAGGCUUUAUUUUCACAUUAACUACGAACAUUGCUUUGAAAAAGUAAUAUAAUCAAAAUUUACUCAAUUGCACAUGUAUUCAUUAAUAUGCACCAAAAGAAUUCAUACGAAUACACAUGUUUGCAUAUAAACGUAUAAAAAUAUUUAUAACCAAAAGAGCGAACAUACGUAUGUUAGAGCAAUAUAUAGUUUUUAGCAUAAUUUUUAUUUCACGCUCAGCUCUGUUCAAGCGAAAAUGUUUAAAUUUCUCCUACCGAGCUGGCAGUGGUGAAACUCUUCCAUCUCGACCGAGUUAGCCAAAAAUAAUUUUACGAUCUCCGCGCCGUGAACCUUCUCUAUGAUAAACGUUCUUUGCUCCUUUUAAAGUAUGUCAUCUAUGACAAAAAAUUGUAUAAAAUAAUUAAAACCGUUCAAUCCUUUAGAUACCGAAUAUGUGAGCCCACAACUAACUUUUUACCGAAAUUAUCGGUCAAUAUGGGAAAUAUAUAACUGAAAUUAAGAGAGAAUCCUUUCCUGAUAGUAGAAUAUCUAUGUGUCAAAAAUGGGUUGAAUCAGGUUUCCCUUAACCCCUAUAUACCUAAUAUAAAACUUUUCGAACUUCCAAGUGACUUUAUACCGCAUAUAUCGGCCAAUAUGUGAGUCAAUUUAAUACAAUUGAGAUAGCGUGUUUAGCGUGUGAUUUUUUCUUGUUUCUCGAAGAGACAAAACAAAAUUCACUGAAGGAGCUGAAUGCCAUCCUAAGAAAUGUUUUUCAAAAGUACAUCUGGUGUGCAUUACUUUGAAGGUUACAGCAAAUAAUUAAAGUUAUUGAACACGAUUUCAAUCGAACCUUAAAUUAGCCUUCAGCCAGUUAAAAAAAAAACUUCAUAAAACAAAAUCGUUCAAAGGUAACUUCUUAAAGUACUAUUUGUAAAUUCAUCCUACCUUGCGCUCUUCGAAUUCCACCCCAAAAAAUUAACUGGCAAUCAUAAACUUUAAAAUGAGAAUUUGAAACCGCUCUCAACUUAUGGACACUCACUGUACUCUUGCAAGAUCCUCUUGACAUUACAGUUCUAACCCCGAAAUAAUUUCUUAGGUCGUUCUGACCUUAACUGAACCAGAGGUCGCUUAUUAAACUAUUGGAGAAUAAUUAAAAUUCACCAUCAUGAUCUCAGCAAUUGAUGACAACAUAGUAUUUAGAGAAACUUUAUAAGAGGUACCAAAGAAAAACUCUUGAAAAAGUACCAAACCAUGUAUUAAGGAAUAUUGACUUGAUGGACGGACAGACAGUCACCCGAAGUACAACCCGACACGUCAUCCUCUUUAUUUACUUCUAUAUAUAUGUAACUUUACGUCACUUAGGUUCAUUACCAUAUUUUGUAUUAAUACGUAUUAACCCAAAUGGGCUAUAAUACUAUAGUGCGCCUACAAGGAGAAGCUCAACCAGAUAGUCGGAAAUUAUUAUAUUUAUUAACGAUAUGAGGUUAAGAGCAAGAGCCAUUUUCAUAUAUGAAAUCACUAAACCACAUUACACUAAAGAAAUACACUUAAUUGCAUUAAAAUAUCACACGUUUUGACCAACAUAAAAGGUUUACUAUAGGGUUACGUUGAAAUGACGAUAUCGGGGGCUACCGGAAGGUGUGGACUGAUUGCGUUAACUUCUGGCAUUACUCAAGUAUACUCGAAAACAAGUUUCCACGUAAUUUAGGAAGGUAUCGGCCACGGAUAGUACUGAACAGAUUUUUACCAUCAACACAGGUUUUUCUCAGAAAUUAUUACUUUAGAGUUCCAUCAAGGCAGCUCAUAUAUAGACCUAUACCUUACUAUUUAAUCGGGGGCAAGAAAAAAUGCUCUUUUUAUUUUAUACAAGUUAUUUUAAUUUACAAAAUUAUGUUGUUAUUUUACAUUUAAUCACGAAAUACAUAUGUAAAAGGAAAAUCUAAAUGUUCUCGCUACGCGCGAAUGUACGAUUAAAAUCCACGGCGAGCGGAUUUGGAGUAUCAGGAUGUUUUAUUAUUAAGCUUUGAGCGUAGCGCGUAGGAUUGUUGUGGAUCGGUAUCAAUAUGCUAACGAGCGAGUUGAUCGCUCCAAGGAACCGGGUUGAAACGAAAUCUGGCGAAGAUCCAAUUAUACGGUGCGUUGACGCGGCUUAGUCCAGAACGUAGUUAAUGUCGAAUUGUAUGUGUCGAAUUGUAAAUGUGCGGCUUGUGUCUCCUAUCCCGUUGUCCAUCCUUUUUGUUUAGUGGGGUACAGGUGUGGUGAGCUAUGUAGUAGUGUCAUCAGCUGUGGUGAAUUGCGCUGUGGUAUUAGGAUGCGUCAGCCAGUUUUACCGGGUAGAGGGGGUGGCUGCUUAACUCAUUUAAACAUCCUGGGUCCCCUAGGCGAAUAUUUUGCCUAGUUUUAUAUAUGUAUAUAAUUGUGAGACAUGUAAUUCGGCUUACUAUUGGUGGAGUUACAUGGCGAUCGUCGGAUAUUUAGUGCUGGAGAAUUGCUCCUUAUUUGCAUGUUUGUGUAAAAAACAGUCUUUCGUUUCAUAUGAAUUUUAAUAUGCGUCUAGUUGCAUGAGAUAAACACCUUAAAUUUGCUUGUUUGUUUAAUUUUACUUUUAACUUAUUAUACAUGCGAUUUUUUCUUUUAUCAGUUUAUUGUUCUGUUUAUUUAUUAUUUGCCUUUUUCUAUAGUCUUGGCGAUUGUUGCUAUAAUUUUUUUUUUGAUUGGCUUUUUAAGGACCGCAACUCCAUGCCUGGCUCAGGUUGGGCCUGAAUGGGUGCGCCUUUGAAAACAAACAUUGGGGUUAGAACUGUUAUAUGUGAGGGAUCUUCCGAGCGUACAGUGAAUGGCCGUUAAUUGAAAUCGGCUUCGAUUCUUGUUAAUAUUGUACACAAUUGUUCAUAGUUAAUUUGAAGCUUUAUACAGCUGAUUCCCAUAACCCACCCAUAUGAGUAGCGGUUGGAUAGUUGCGAUAAGAGCAACCUUAGCUUAUCUAAGAGUAGGUGCAUCAAUGUAUCGCAUUGGGAGUAUGGUGAUCCCUUAACUAUUUAUUUUUAAAAUUUAUGAAAAUGUCAAUUUUUCGACUUUUUGGAAAAUUCUGUAUAUCGUAACCUGAAAUGCAAAAUAACGUAACAACAUUUUCGGAAAUUUACAUUGGCAUGAAUGAAACACGAAAUAAAAUGGAACAUGAGUGAAAAAAUUUUUAAUUUUGGUUAAAACUGGUUUAUAUUUGACCGCAGAACCUGAAAAUGUUGAACACAUGUAAUAUUAUGUAUGUAAUUUGAAGUAAUGAAGCGUAAUCAAUAAGACAUUCAAUUUUUUGAUGAUAGGUUAUUUUGCAUUUCAGGUGACGAUAUGUAAUGUUUAAGUGCGUAUGCACUAAUUUGACAAGUAGUGGAGCGCCGCCGCUCUAGGAUUUCUUCAGAUUUUUUUUUUGUUUUUCCAUUAUUGGCGAAAGCCAUCCUGCGGGGCCGAAAAGUAGUAUGUCCUUUUAAUAUAGGGACUGUCAGAGGUAACUCGAACUUUAUUUUUUAUACCAACUUGUGGAGUGUUGGAAUAUUGUGGCUCUAGUGUUAGUCGUACGACAUACCGGCCAUUAUUUGAUCGAGUAGUUGUGGCUUUAGAGAAGUGCUCACAAUACCGAUCUUUUAUAGUUUUGUUUGUUAAUGGAAGUUUCUUUAACUUUUGCGAUUUACUUAAUUGUGAAUUAAGGUUUUUGUUCUCAACUUGAGUUGGUAUGGUGGUAACUGUCCAAUUAAUUUUUAAAAUUAAAAAAAUUAAUAUUAAAAGAUAUGUAUCAUCAUUUGCUAAACACCAAACUCAAAAACUAAUUCUUAUUUUUUUGCCCAAUAUCAAUAAUUCAUUGCAAUCGAUAACCAAAAAAGUACAACACUUGUAGUUUCCUAGCUAACUCACCAUUUACUUAUUGCUUGUUUUUGCCCAUCAAUAAAAAAAAUACAACAUUAAACAACUGAUGGAAAUUAAGCGUACAUUUUUCUGAUGCGUACAGUAAACUUAAAUUGUUGAAUGUUAUAUUCGUUUAAGAAUUUAAAUUAAUAUUGUUACAAUAUAUUGAGCCGUUCAUUUACCAUGGAAAAUAACGAAUAUGCCGGAACUUCAAAAAAAAGGAAGAUAUACAACAUUCUGCGAUAGAUGGAUUGAAGAAGCAGAAUAUAGCAAAUGGAUUUAAAAAAAAGAUGAUUAUGCCGCAUUUUGCAAAUUAUGCCAAAUUAAUAUUUGUAUAAAAUAUGAAGGAAAUCCAGCAUUACGCAAACAUGCCCAAGCAAAA